AUGGCAACCGAUUUGCCGUCGGCCCGGAAGGGAAGAGAGGGGGCGCAUGAGGCUCCGCCCAAGCUGUUGGCGUGACCUGGUGGCGUGUGAGCGCGUGGUGUGACUCCGUCACCCUCCUUCCUUUCCCCCGAGGGAGAAUCGGAGUCCCCGUGAUGGGGACAAGGGAGGAGUCUCCUUCCUGAGGCAACGUCUGGCCGCGGGCGGAAGGGAACAGUCUGGGCCAGUGCUGGCACCCAAGUGAAGAUUUACGCUUAAAUGUAUUAUAUUGCUGGCCAGCCGCACCGUCCCCUUGGCCUCCCCGGGCUACCGUACGGAUUGGGGCUCCGGGGAUCACUGCCCCCAUCUGCACGCCCCCUCCUGCAGGGCCCGUUUGCCGUGUUUUUCACAAUAUCCCUCAGCAAUCUCAGAGGAGACAUGGAAGAAGCGGGUCUUGAAGGAUUGGAAGAAGAGGGCAAUUGCCUUGCAUAUUAUUAGGCAGUGUGGAAGAAAACAGACAUGGAUGUGGAAAAAGCAGACGUUGUCAAGGCUAGCAUCAUUGUCAGAGAGUAUUUGAGCGUGAUUCAAAAAGACACACGAGCAGAUAAGUUCAGAGAAGCGGAGCUGGGAAGGGCCUUGAAAGUGAGGAUAGGAAACUUUGUGAAACAUCUGUAAAAAUACUUUUAAAACAGUCAUGUUAGGAGACUGAGUUACUACAUUUAGUUCUCUCUAUCAAGGUUUAGACUGGGAUAUGGCACAGAAAUGCCAGUGAUUGACCAUAGACAAUGUAUCUUAAUUUUUCUGGCUCUCUCUUCACUGAUGAUGAUGCACCUUGGUAAUCUGCACCUUGCAAAAUGAAUGCAAAAAUUUAUAAUUAGUUAUAUUACCAAAUACAAAAUUACACCCAAUCAGAAUUCUCUACUUAUAUUAAUUGUUAGUGGCAUUUUAUACACACUUCCCACUCACUACACAGUGACUGGACAAGGAAUAAUUAGACAAGGCUGAAGGCAAUAAAGAAUCUGAUCUGCUGCCUCUGAGUUUCCCACACACUCAAGUUUUUCCCUGAAAUAAGCCACUUUAUCUCAUGGAAAUUUCAUUUCUGUUUUACUGUCUCCACAACUGCUACUUGUAUGAUAUAUUGUAACUUAUGCAGUUUCCUAACCUUUGUAUGCAUAGGCUGUAAACAACUAUGUAAGUAACAUUGUACCCUAAAAUGAAUUUUAAUUAUACUGUAUCUCCCUCGAUUCUGUGGAACGGAGGCUUGUUAACAGCAUUUAAGAGCUAUAAUUUGUAAUAAAUAAAAAUUCAGAUGUUAAUGUCUUGUUAUCUAUUAAAGCUAAAAUAACUUUG